GACGAACGCUGGCGGCGCGCUUAACACAUGCAAGUCGAACGGAAAGGCCCUGCUUUUGUUGUUUGCUCGAGUGGCGAACGGGUGAGUAACACGUGAGUAACCUGCCCUUGACUUUGGGAUAACUUCAGGAAACUGGAGCUAAUACCGGAUAUGAGCUCCCGCUGCUUGGUGGGGGUUGGAAAGUUUCUGUGGUUGGGGAUGGACUCGCGGCUUAUCCGCUUGUUGGUGGGGUGGUGGCUUACCACGGCUUUGACGGGUAUCCGGGCUGAGAGGGUGACCGGCCAGAUUGGGACUGAAAUGCGGCCCAGACUACUACGGGAGGCAGGGGUGGGGAAUAUUGUACAAUGGGCGGAAGCCUGAUGCAGCAACGCCGCGUGCGGGAUGACGGCCUUGGGGUUGUAAACCGCUUUCGCCUGUGACGAAGCGUGAGUGACGGUAAUGGGUAAAGAAGCACCGGCUAACUACGUG
rnacentral:rRNA from 1 species